CAAAAACACAAAGAGGAUAAAGUUAAACUGCUUGUAUUUCCUAUCCCGUAGACAAUUUUUUACUGCUGGAAUUGAAGAGAAAUAAAUAUAAUAUAUUUAUAAAUGAGAUAAAUCAGCUUUUCGUUAAAACAUCUUUUAAAGAAAAAAAAAGAAAACGUUAAGCGCAUUUUCUUUCGGUACAACUACAGAGUCAUAACGCCAUGAAAGUGUUAGCAAUUACGCUGAUAAUGCUAAUGAUGCUCUCUCAAUUUGACGAAAUAACUGCAAUUCAUAAUAUAACAGAGGCCCUAGAAGCGUUGGCGCCGGUCCCUAUCGAAAAUUCCGUGGAUGAUAAACCAUCGAAAGAUGUCAGUUUUUCUUUAAAGAAUCAAGCAAGGAUAUUGGACAUGAAAAAAUGGUUUAUUGAAGUCAUUUUGAUAUUUCAAUAUUUUUUAACCAAAUGCGAACAGAUAUCGUAAAUAUAAUGACAUGUUUCAUAUAAAAAUUUCUGUAGAAUUUGCACCGAUAAUUUUUCUUGGAAACAAAAUGCAACAUGAAAUCGCAAAUUAUAUACUAAGCUUGAUAGAAAAUUCAUUCAAAUACAUCAAGGCCAAAGGAUGACCUUGAAACCUUAAUAAAAGGAAAAGUUUUGGACGUUGGGGCAUCAUUUUAUACCACCUUAUAAGGUUGUAUUGAACACUUGUAGCGCUACUAUCUGGAGUCAUUCCCACAUGUUGUAUCAAUGUAGCCGGAUAAGUUUUUAAAGGAUGUUAAGUUUGGUUUAAUUGUCUGGUUGAAAGAGAUGAGCUGAAGUUGAAUACAGUGCAAUUAUUGUAACUGUUGUAUGUGUCAUACAAUAAAUAAAAAUAUCUUGAUUCGA